UACAGAGGUCUCAAGCGUUGUUCGGAUUCACUGGGCGUAAAGGGUGCGUAGGCGGCGCGGUAAGUCGGAUGUGAAAUUUCGGAGCUUAACUCCGAAACUGCAUUCGAUACUGCGGUGCUUGAGGACUGGAGAGGAGACUGGAAUUCAUGGUGUAGCAGUGAAAUGCGUAGAGAUCAUGAGGAAGACCAGUGGCGAAGGCGGGUCUCUGGACAGUUCCUGACACUGAGACACGAAGGCCAGGGGAGCAAACGGG
rnacentral:rRNA from 1 species